UACAGAGGUCCCGAGCGUUGUUCGGAUUCAUUGGGCGUAAAGGGUGCGUAGGCGGCGGGGAAAGUCUGAUGUGAAAUCCUGGGGCUCAACCCUGGAACUGCAUUGGAUACUUCCUUGCUAGAGUACUGGAGAGGAAACUGGAAUUUACGGUGUAGCAGUGAAAUGCGUAGAGAUCGUAAGGAAGACCAGUGGCGAAGGCGAGUUUCUGGACAGUUACGUGACGCUGAGGCACGAAGGCCAGGGGAGCAAACGGG
rnacentral:rRNA from 1 species